rnacentral:rRNA from 1 species
UGGGGAAUUUUGGACAAUGGGCGCAAGCCUGAUCCAGCCAUGCCGCGUGUCUGAAGAAGGCCUUCGGGUUGUAAAGGACUUUUGUCAGGGAAGAAAAGGCUGUUGCUAAUACCGACAGCUGAUGACGGUACCUGAAGAAUAAGCACCGGCUAACUACGUGCCAGCAGCCGCGGUAAUACGUAGGGUGCGAGCGUUAAUCGGAAUUACUGGGCGUAAAGCGAGCGCAGACGGUUACUUAAGCAGGAUGUGAAAUCCCCGGGCUCAACCUGGGAACCGCGUUCUGAACUGGGUGACUAGAGUGUGUCAGAGGGAGGUAGAAUUCCACGUGUAGCAGUGAAAUGCGUAGAGAUGUGGAGGAAUACCGAUGGCGAAGGCAGCCUCCUGGGAUAACACUGACGUUCAUGCUCGAAAGCGUGGGUAGCAAACAGGAUUAGAUACCCUGGUAGUCCACGCCCUAAACGAUGCCAAUUAGCUGUUGGGCAACUUGAUUGCUUAGUAGCGUAGCUAACGCGUGAAAUUGACCGCCUGGGGAGUACGGUCGCAAGAUUA